AUGAUUGAACUUAAUGAAUUGCCAGAUGACCUUAAUUAUGACUUUCCACCAAAUGUUGGAGUGGACAACGUUGAACCCAUGUACUGCACACAACCUUCUGCGCAAAGGGCCCCGCCACUGAACAAUGUCAAUGAGUUUGUGGCUAAAUCUCCAAACACUCCUAUUGCACAGAAUGUUGCCGACUCUAGAAUGCAAGCAAUGCCCACAGAAGAGCACACACUUCAUGACACAGACACUUUGGGAGCAACGGGGGGGGGGACUGCUGCGUGCGAGGGUGCAGGGGGAGAUGCUGAUAACGAUGAUGAAGCAUGGUGCCAGCCAAAGGAACCUUCAUUGGGUACAAGGUUUGACACUUUGCUAGGUGUAAGAGAACACUAUAAUGCUUAUGCUUAG
rnacentral:rRNA from 1 species